rnacentral:rRNA from 1 species
AAGCCCUUCUGGAGUAGGCAGACUGCACAGUCUGACCUUCAGUUGCGCAGGUCAGGGGCUGGCUCCUUUUGGCGUCAGUUGACUUGACUGGGCGGGUCCGAUACCAUGCGGAUUCACCUUGCCUUUAUGGCUUGGGGUCAUGCCGGAUGUGAGGGGUGGCGGUUAACAUACCUUAAGCAAUUAAUUCUGAAGACAGAUCUACUGGCUGGCUUUGCUGACUGUAGACUGAAUAAUUACAGACAACUCUCAACAACGGAUAUCUUGGCUCCCGUAACGAUGAAGAACGCAGCGAAAUGCGAUACGUAGUGUGAAUUGCAGAAUUCCGUGAACCAUCGAAUCUUUGAACGCAAAUUGCGCUCGAGGCUUCGGCCAAGAGCAUGUCUGCCUCAGCGUCGGCUACUACCCUCAACCUAGUUUCGUAUUAUAUGAUAGGGGAUGCCGGUUGGAUAUGGCCGUCCGGUUUGCCUGAAUGCUAGCCGGUCAGCUGAAAUACAUUCACGCUGUGGAAGCUGCUUUCCUGUCAAGGAGAGGCGAGUUCCGAUUUGGUAGGUGACCCUUGCCGGUUACAUGCCUUCGUUGCCCGCCAGGCUUCCAAUCAUGCGUUGUGCAGGACGCCUUUUGGCUUUCGACCUGAGGUCAGGCAA